rnacentral:rRNA from 1 species
CCUACGGGAGGCAGCAGUGGGGAAUCUUGCUCAAUGGGCGAAAGCCUGAAGCAGCAACGCCGCGUGCGGGAUGAAGGCCCUCGGGUUGUAAACCGCUUUCAGCAGGAACGAAUCUGACGGUACCUGCAGAAGAAGGUCCGGCCAACUACGUGCCAGCAGCCGCGGUAACACGUAGGGACCAAGCGUUGUCCGGAUUUAUUGGGCGUAAAGAGCUCGUAGGCGGUUCAGUCAGUCGGGUGUGAAAACUUCGGGCUUAACUCGAAGCAUGCAUCCGAUACUGCUGUGACUUGAGUCCGGUAGGGGAGUGGGGAAUUCCUGGUGUAGCGGUGAAAUGCGCAGAUAUCAGGAGGAACACCGGUGGCGAAGGCGCCACUCUGGGCCGGUACUGACGCUGAGGAGCGAAAGCGUGGGUAGCAAACAGGAUUAGAUACCCUGGUAGUCCACGCUGUAAACGUUGGGCACUAGGUGUGGGCUCUAACCAACGGAGUCCGUGCCGCAGCUAACGCAUUAAGUGCCCCGCCUGGGGAGUACGGCCGCAAGGUUAAAACUCAAAGGAAUUGACGG